AGAGUUUGAUCCUGGCUCAGAUUGAACGCUGGCGGCAGGCCUAACACAUGCAAGUCGAGCGGAUGAAGGGAGCUUGCUCCUGGAUUCAGCGGCGGACGGGUGAGUAAUGCCUAGGAAUCUGCCUGGUAGUGGGGGACAACGUUUCGAAAGGAACGCUAAUACCGCAUACGUCCUACGGGAGAAAGCAGGGGACCUUCGGGCCUUGCGCUAUCAGAUGAGCCUAGGUCGGAUUAGCUAGUUGGUGAGGUAAUGGCUCACCAAGGCGACGAUCCGUAACUGGUCUGAGAGGAUGAUCAGUCACACUGGAACUGAGACACGGUCCAGACUCCUACGGGAGGCAGCAGUGGGGAAUAUUGGACAAUGGGCGAAAGCCUGAUCCAGCCAUGCCGCGUGUGUGAAGAAGGUCUUCGGAUUGUAAAGCACUUUAAGUUGGGAGGAAGGGUUGUAGAUUAAUACUCUGCAAUUUUGACGUUACCGACAGAAUAAGCACCGGCUAACUCUGUGCCAGCAGCCGCGGUAAUACAGAGGGUGCAAGCGUUAAUCGGAAUUACUGGGCGUAAAGCGCGCGUAGGUGGUUCGUUAAGUUGGAUGUGAAAUCCCCGGGCUCAACCUGGGAACUGCAUUCAAAACUGUCGAGCUAGAGUAUGGUAGAGGGUGGUGGAAUUUCCUGUGUAGCGGUGAAAUGCGUAGAUAUAGGAAGGAACACCAG
rnacentral:rRNA from 1 species